CUGAGACAGUCACAUAUUCAACUUGUUAUUUUGACCUCAGGGACACACUUGCCUGGAGUAUUGUUUGUCAUCAAGGCAUCCUCAUAAACCAGUUCAUCCCGACUACACACUGCUGUUGACUGAGGUGUGCUGUCAUCGUUAAAGUCACUCUGUUCCAAGACUUGCCAGGAAUAGUGUUUGAACCACUUUAUCCUGACUACACACAGUGCUGUUGACUGAGGUGUGCUGUCAUCGUUAAAGUCACUCUGUUCCAAGGUUUG